rnacentral:tRNA from 1 species
GUUUUAAUAGUUUAAAAAAAACACUGGUCUUGUAAACCAGAAAUAAGAAACUUCUUUUAAAACU